rnacentral:rRNA from 1 species
GAUGGGCAUGCGUUGUAUUAGCUAGUUGGUGGGGUAACGGCUCACCAAGGCGACGAUACAUAGGGGGACUGAGAGGUUAACCCCCCACACUGGUACUGAGACACGGACCAGACUCCUACGGGAGGCAGCAGUGAGGAAUAUUGGUCAAUGGACGCAAGUCUGAACCAGCCAUGCCGCGUGCAGGAUGACGGCUCUAUGAGUUGUAAACUGCUUUUGUACGAGGGUAAACGCAGAUACGUGUAUCUGUCUGAAAGUAUCGUACGAAUAAGGAUCGGCUAACUCCGUGCCAGCAGCCGCGGUAAUACGGAGGAUUCAAGCGUUAUCCGGAUUUAUUGGGUUUAAAGGGUGCGUAGGCGGUUUGAUAAGUUAGAGGUGAAAUUUCGGGGCUCAACCCUGAACGUGCCUCUAAUACUGUUGAGCUAGAGAGUAGUUGCGGUAGGCGGAAUGUAUGGUGUAGCGGUGAAAUGCUUAGAGAUCAUACAGAACACCGAUUGCGAAGGCAGCUUACCAAACUAUAUCUGACGUUGAGGCACGAAAGCGUGGGGAGCAAACAGGAUUAGAUACCCUGGUAGUCCACGCAGUAAACGA